GGAUAAGUUAGAAAGGGCGCACGGUGAAUGCCUUGGCACUAGGAGCCGAUGAAGGACGCGACGAACCGCGAUAGGCUUCGGGGAGCUGUAAGUAAGCUUCGAUCCGGAGAUUUCCGAAUGGGGGAACCCACCAUCCGUAAUGGGAUGGUACUGGCAUCUGAACACAUAGGAUGUCGAGAGGCAGACCCGGGGAACUGAAACAUCUAAGUACCCGGAGGAAGAGAAAGCAAAUGCGAUUUCCUGAGUAG
rnacentral:rRNA from 1 species